GUUACAUUCCAGCCUGAGUUAAUAGAUGCUCCAAAUACAGUAAAACUAAAAAUAUAGAGUAGCGAAAUAGUUCGCUACAUUUUUUAAGCAGUAGUUGUAGUCAGUAGCGAACUACCUUUCUUUAAAAGUAGCAGUAGUUGUAGCUGACUACAUAUUUUUGAAGUAGCUGUAGUUAUAGCGAACUACAAAAAAAUUGUAGUCAACCCACCCUUG